rnacentral:misc_RNA from 1 species
UUCCCUGGUUAGUAUAGGUUGUUAGUUUAGUAAGCGGACUGUCGUGUAGUUAUUCGUCGAAUGUUGAGUUGCGUCCACAGCCGUCCACAGCUGUUUUUUUAAAUACGAUUAACUCAAUUCCUCAUCCCCCGCGUUUACACUUCCGUUGAUUUCAGCAAACAACAAUUUAAUAAUACAGAAUAGUAAAGGCACAUAUAGCGCUAUACAAAAGCGUAUUGAUGUCUGAUCGAGAUCACCAGAUUAAAAAUGUCGCUUCGAUGCGCACAGGUGGUGUGGCUGGUGACGGAAAAGGGGCUGAUGGAUUGCCGACGGUCGUUCCGUUUCAACAGACUCGAGCCCCAGUUGCAUUUAACAAAGCUAUGGAAUCGGUUACUAUUUCUUCCACUACUGGCAAGCGCGGAAGCCGAUCCAGCGCAAGUUCCAGUGAAAUGAGUGCAUCAAAGUUGGAUGCUGUGAACAGCGAGAGACAAGGCCGAGACAACCCUUCAUUUCACCAAGAAGAGGACGACAUCCCUGUUAAUCAGACGUAUUACGCCGACGAAUUGAUCAGCGUGCCCGACUUGAAUGAAAGCAAGUUCAGCUUUCGCACUCUUUGGGCUUUCACUGGUCCGGGCUUUCUCAUGAGCAUUGCUUAUCUAGAUCCGGGUAAUAUUGAAUCGGAUUUGCAGUCAGGAGUUGUGGCCGGUUAUAAGUUAUUAUGGGUGCUGAUGUCUGCGACAAUCAUGGGGCUUUUGGUUCAACGCUUAGCCAUUCGAUUGGGUAUGGUUACAGGCCUCCAUUUGGCCGAAAUGUGUUACAAACAAUACCCUAAAACACCCCGCCUGAUUUUAUGGAUUAUGGCUGAGAUCGCAAUCAUCGGGUCCGACAUUCAGGAAGUCAUCGGAACGUCACUCGCUAUUUACAUUCUCUCAAAUCAAGCAAUUCCUAUCUGGGGUGGUGUCCUUAUUACAGUAUUCGACACUUUUACUUUCCUACUGCUUGACAGAUACGGCUUGCGAAAGUUGGAAUUUUUCUUUGGCUUCCUCAUUACUGUCAUGGCUAUAACCUUUGGAUACGAAUACGUUCACGAUCCGCCGCCACAAAUCGAAGUCAUCAAAGGUCUCUUCAUUCCGGGUUGCGCUGGUUGCGGCCCGGAUGGCGUUCUCCGAGCUGUAGGAAUCGUCGGCGCAGUCAUUAUGCCUCACAAUCUUUUUCUGCAUUCGGCUCUAGUCAAGUCCCGCAAUGUUGACCGCAAAGAUAAGGGCUCCGUUAAGCAAGCAAACAUGUAUUUCUUCAUUGAGUCGUGUAUCGCUUUAUUCAUUUCAUUCAUCAUCAACAUUUUCGUCGUCUGUGUCUUCGCUUACGGCCUUUUCGGAAAAACCAAUCUCGAUGUGCAAGAUUUAUGUGCAAACAGUACUUCUUCUUCUUCGCAAGAAGAAAUUGAGGAAUUCUUCCCGUCCAAUAAUGAAACGGUUGAUGCUGACAUUUACCGCGCUGGACUCUUUUUGGGCUGUAAAUAUGGUGACGCAGCCAGAUACAUUUGGGCCGUUGGAAUUCUAGCUGCUGGUCAAUCGUCCACCAUGACAGGAACUUACAGUGGCCAGUUUGUUAUGGAGGGCUUUUUAAAUUUGCACUGGGCUCGCUGGAAGAGAGUGUUGCUCACGCGAACAAUUGCCAUCGCUCCAACUCUUUUCUUGGCUAUUUUCGCCGAUAUUCAACAGUUGACUGGUCUAAACGAUUAUCUUAACGCUGUCAUGAGUUUACAGUUGCCCUUCGCCUUGAUUCCAACAUUGACUUUUACCAGCUCACCAAAGAUAAUGGGCGAUUUUGUUAACGGAUUAUUUAACAAAAUCCUUCUGCUGAUUUUGGCGGCGGUCGUCGUCAGCAUCAAUCUCUAUUUCGUGGUUGUGACGAUCCAGGAAACUCUACCUCCGCACUGGGCAAUCUACACCGCGUUCGGGAUCGCAGGCAUACUCUACAUGAGCUUGGUUUUAUAUUUAAUUCUUCACUUGAUUGAAUCCUUCGGUGGACGUUGCUGCGCCCGUUUACCGUACGAAAAGUUAACAAUCCACAAGGCAGAUGGCGACGAAACGGAGCCGUUCGCAUUCGCCGUUAAUCAGUACUCGGAAAAUCGUCUCAAUUGAAAAUGCUCGGAGAUUGUAUCUGGACUGGUCAAUCCAAAUCAAUACCAUUUAUCAAGAAGUGAAGCAACGGAAUCCAUCUCUUUUGUUACCAGCACCCAUUCCUUGGAAUUGUCAAAUGCUGAUAAACAAAAGCAGAACAAAAAUUCCGAUGAUAU